rnacentral:lncRNA from 1 species
GGGCCUCUUUUUCGCGUUUGCAAGUUCAUGGACCAAAGUGGCAGAGGACGACAAGUUAAAGGGCCGCCGAUGUAUUUUACUCUAAAAAAUAUAGCGCCCUAUACACAUACUCACAAAUGAGUAUGUAGGUAUUGCACGUGCUGAAGAUCCUGGUUUGAACUCUCAAAGACACUUUUUUUUUGUUUUUUAGGUUUCUUGAAAAUUAUUAUGAGACGCGAUCGUAUUAACACGCUUGUGUCUGUAAUAAUAUCAAAGAAAUUAUUUAUUAAUUAGAGGUUAUUUUUUUUGUUCGUCUCCAAAAAUGAAAAACACCCGAAUGUUAAAAUAAAAAAUCUUCUAUCCAGUAGUGAUAUAUGCCCGCACCUGAAAUGUUGCACAGUCGAAGUUGCCGAUCUCCAGCUCCCUGACGCUAGAAAGGGCAGUGAGCAUGCCCCGGUAGUCUCUCGCCUCGUGGGCGUUCAGCGUGAUGUUGGCGUAGCUAAGCUUGGGCAGGUGCCCUAGCUCCCAGGAGCCGGCGCCGGCCAUCGUCAGGCGCAGCUCCAGCCACCGGAGGUUGGGCGCCUGGAUGAUCCACGCGCCAGGGACAGGGAGGCCCUCGCCGGCUCCGACA